rnacentral:rRNA from 1 species
UACGUAGGGGGCUAGCGUUGUCCGGAUUUAUUGGGCGUAAAGAGCGUGUAGGCGGCCAUGUAGGUCCGGUGUGAAAACUCGAGGCUUAACCUCGAGAUGUCAUCGGAAACCAUUUGGCUAGAGUCCGGAAGAGGAGAGUGGAAUUCCUGGUGUAGCGGUGAAAUGCGCAGAUAUCAGGAAGAACACCAAUGGCGAAAGCAGCUCUCUGGGACGGUACUGACGCUGAGGAGCGAAAGCGUGGGUAGCGAACAGG